CCUACGGGAGGCAGCAGUGAGGAAUAUUGGUCAAUGGACGAGAGUCUGAACCAGCCAAGUAGCGUGAAGGAUGACUGCCCUAUGGGUUGUAAACUUCUUUUAUAAAGGAAUAAAACGAGCCACGUGUGCUUUUUUGCAUGUACCUUAUGAAUAAGGAUCGGCUAACUCCGUGCCAGCAGCCGCGGUAAUACGGAGGAUCCGAGCGUUAUCCGGAUUUAUUGGGUUUAAAGGGAGCGUAGAUGGGUUGUUAAGUCAGGUGUGAAAGUUGGCGGCUCAACCGUAAAAUUGCAAUUGAUACUGGCAGUCUAGAGUACAGUAGAGGUAGGCGGAAUUCUUGGUGUAGCAGUGAAAUGCGUAGAUAUCACGAAGAACCCUGAUGGCGAAGGCAGGUUACUGGACAGUAACUGACGCUGAGGCACGAAGGUGAGGGUAUCGAAAAGGAUUAGAUACCCGAGUAGUC
rnacentral:rRNA from 1 species